rnacentral:siRNA from 1 species
UUACUGGAUGGGUCUUAUGCA